AUGAAAGAGAAAUAAAUUAGAGAUAAAAGAGAGCAGAGAAGGAAAAAAAUAGAAGAAGCAAUCACACAGUGUCGAGAGACACACAGAGAGGGCCAAGCUUGACUCUUUGACGAUAUAAUGAUUAAUUCUUUUACAGUUUUCAGGUACCGAGGAUGAACUUGGAUUGCUAGUAGCGGGCUUAGGUGGAAGAGUUGGUGUUGAGGAUUUUUAUUUAAUUAUUUAGAGAUUUUUGUAUAUUUAAUUGAGGAAAUUGAUUGUUGUAUCAAUAAAGGAUAUUUUAUUUCUUUUUGA